AUGAACGCUGGCGGCGUGCUUAACACAUGCCCGUCGAACGAAGCACUUUAUUUGAUUUCCUUCGGGACUGAUUAUUUUGUGACUGAGUGGCGGACGGGUGAGUAACGCGUGGGUAACCUGCCUUGUACAGGGGGAUAACAGUUGGAAACGGCUGCUAAUACCGCAUAAGCGCACGGCAUCGCAUGAUGCAGUGUGAAAAACUCCGGUGGUAUAAGAUGGACCCGCGUUGGAUUAGCUAGUUGGUGAGGUAACGGCCCACCAAGGCGACGAUCCAUAGCCGACCUGAGAGGGUGACCGGCCACAUUGGGACUGAGACACGGCCCAAACUCCUACGGGAGGCAGCAGUGGGGAAUAUUGCACAAUGGGCGAAAGCCUGAUGCAGCGACGCCGCGUGAGCGAAGAAGUAUUUCGGUAUGUAAAGCUCUAUCAGCAGGGAAGAUAAUGACGGUACCUGACUAAGAAGCACCGGCUAAAUACGUG
rnacentral:rRNA from 1 species